rnacentral:rRNA from 1 species
AUAGAUACCCAGGUAGUCCACGCCGUAAACGAUGAGUGCUAAGUGUUAGAGGGUUUCCGCCCUUUAGUGCUGCAGCUAACGCAUUAAGCACUCCGCCUGGGGAGUACGGUCGCAAGACUGAAACUCAAAGGAAUUGACGGGGGCCCGCACAAGCGGUGGAGCAUGUGGUUUAAUUCGAAGCAACGCGAAGAGCCUUACCAGGUCUUGACAUCCUCUGACAACUCUAGAGAUAGAGCGUUCCCCUUCGGGGGACAGAGUGACAGGUGGUGCAUGGUUGUCGUCAGCUCGUGUCGUGAGAUGUUGGGUUAAGUCCCGCAACGAGCGCAACCCUUGAUCUUAGUUGCCAGCAUUCAGUUGGGCACUCUAAGGUGACUGCCGGUGACAAACCGGAGAAAGGUGGGGAUGACGUCAAAUCAUCAUGCCCCUUAUGACCUGGGCUACACACGUGCUACAAUGGAUGGUACAAAGGGCUGCAAGACCGCGAGGUCAAGCCAAUCCCAUAAAACCAUUCUCAGUUCGGAUUGU